UGAAAGGAGGUUUUGUUCUUCCUGUACACUUGGAACUUCUUCCUCUGGUGUCUGCUUUCCAUAACUUUGAGGAAGGGAGGUGUCUCAUGGGGCUAUGCAGCUAUGGAUGCUUGUGAUGAUGCUUCUGCUGGGUGAUACCCCCAAACACUGAGUUCUUCUAGUUCCACCGGUUGUGCAGGUAUAUUAGCAAAAGGUGGACUUGAAAUAC
rnacentral:lncRNA from 1 species